rnacentral:rRNA from 1 species
AGUAACUGCGAGUGAAGCGGGAAAAGCUCAAAUUUAAAAUCUGGUGGCCUUUGGCCAUCCGAGUUGUAAUUUAGAGAAGCGUCUUCCGCGCUGGACCGUGCACAAGUCUCCUGGAAUGGAGCGUCAUAGAGGGUGAGAAUCCCGUCUUUGGCACGGACUCCCGGUGCUUCUGUGAUGCGCUCUCAAAGAGUCGAGUUGUUUGGGAAUGCAGCUCAAAAUGGGUGGUGAACUCCAUCUAAAGCUAAAUACUGGCGAGAGACCGAUAGCGAACAAGUACCGUGAGGGAAAGAUGAAAAGCACUUUGGAAAGAGAGUGAAACAGUACGUGAAAUUGUUGAAAGGGAAACGCUUGAAGUCAGUCGCGUUGACCGAGACUCAGCCUUGCCUCGGCUUGGUGUGCUUCUCGGCUCGACGGGUCAGCAUCAAUUUCGAUCCUCGGAUAAUGGCAGGGGAAAGGUGGCACCUUUUUUUAGGUGUGUUAUAGUCCUCUGUCGCAUGCGAGGGUCGGGAUUGAGGAACUCAGCAUGCGCCUCUGGGUGCCGGGGCCUUGGCCUACGUUACGUGCUUAGGAUGCUGGCAUAAUGGCUUUAAACGACCCGUCUUGAAACACGGACCAAGGAGUCUAACAUACCCGCGAGUGUUCGGGUGGAAAACCCGUGCGCGUAAUGAAAGUAAAAGUUGGGACCUCUGUCGUGGAGGGCACCGACGCCCGGACCAGACCUUCUGUGACGGCUCUGCGGUAGAGCGUGUAUGUUGGGACCCGAAAGAUGGUGAACUAUGCCUGAAUAGGGUGAAGCCAGAGGAAACUCUGGUGGAGGCUCGUAGCGAUUCUGACGUGCAAAUCGAUCGUCAAAUUUGGGUAUAGGGGCGAAAGACUAAUCGAACCAUCUAGAGCUGGUCCUCC